rnacentral:tRNA from 1 species
GGGGAUUUAGCUCAGUGGUAGAGCACUUGCCUAGCAAGCACAAAGCCCUGGGUUCGGUCCCCAGCUCCCCCC